rnacentral:rRNA from 1 species
CGGCAUUGAGUGCUUGCACUCUUUGGACGUCGACCGGCGCACGGGUGAGUAACGCGUAUCCAACCUUCCCAUUACUGUGGGAUAACCUGCCGAAAGGCAGACUAAUACCGCAUAGUCUUCGAUGACGGCAUCAGAUUUGAAGUAAAGAUUUAUCGGUAAUGGAUGGGGAUGCGUCUGAUUAGCUUGUUGGCGGGGUAACGGCCCACCAAGGCAACGAUCAGUAGGGGUUCUGAGAGGAAGGUCCCCCACAUUGGAACUGAGACACGGUCCAAACUCCUACGGGAGGCAGCAGUGAGGAAUAUUGGUCAAUGGACGGAAGUCUGAACCAGCCAAGUAGCGUGCAGGAUGACGGCCCUAUGGGUUGUAAACUGCUUUUGUAUGGGGAUAAGGUUAGGGACGUGUCCCUAUUUGCAGGUACCAUACGAAUAAGGACCGGCUAAUUCCGUGCCAGCAGCCGCGGUAAUACGGAAGGUCCAGGCGUUAUCCGGAUUUAUUGGGUUUAAAGGGAGCGUAGGCUGGAGAUUAAGUGUGUCGUGAAAUGUAGACGCUCAACGUCUGAAUUGCAGCGCAUACUGGUUUCCUUGAGUACGCACAACGUUGGCGGAAUUCGUCGUGUAGCGGUGAAAUGCUUAGAUAUGACGAAGAACUCCGAUUGCGAAGGCAGCUGACGGGAGCGCAACUGACGCUUAAGCUCGAAGGUGCGGGUAUCAAACAGGAUUAGAUACCCUGGUAGUCCGCACAGUAAACGAUGGAUGCCCGCUGUUGGUACCUGGUAUCAGCGGCUAAGCGAAAGCAUUA